UGGUUAGAGCGCCAGAUUGUGGCUCUGGAGGUCGUGAGUUCGUCUCUCAUUAUCCACCCCA
rnacentral:tRNA from 1 species